rnacentral:rRNA from 1 species
CAAUAGCGUAUAUUAAAGUUGUUGCGGUUAAAAAGCUCGUAGUUGGAUUUCUGCCGAGGACGACCGGUCCGCCCUCCGGGUGAGUAUCUGGCUCGGCCUGGGCAUCUUCUUGGAGAACGUAGCUGCACUUGGCUGUGUGGUGCGGUAUUCAGGACUUUUACUUUGAGGAAAUUAGAGUGUUUCAAGCAGGCACACGCCUUGAAUACAUUAGCAUGGAAUAAUAAGAUAGGACCUCGGUUCUAUUUUGUUGGUUUCUAGAUCUGAGGUAAUGAUUAAUAGGGAUAGUUGGGGGCAUUCGUAUUUAACUGUCAGAGGUGAAAUUCUUGGAUUUUUUAAAGACGAACAAUUGCGAAGGCAUCUACCCAGGAUGUUUUUGUUGA